UCCUUUUUCCCUUGGACUGGAUGACAUAGAAAAAGAAAGUAAUCAAAAUUUGGUCACGCCAGAGCCAGAACCACAAGAGAGAGAAAAAAGCAAGCGGACAAAGAAAGUUGGUCCAUAUCAAAAAUCACCUUAUGUCAACAGGGUGAUUGAUAUCAAGGAAAGAAUGAACAAUGAAGACUUUGGAUAUUGGGUCUUCUUGCUAAAGAAAAAGGGCGAGCUAUUGGAUGAUUUGUUUAGAUGGGAGGAAGUGAGAUGUAUCAAGGAACACUUGUUGACGCUGAAACCAAAAACAAGUGUAUACUACUCUGUGAUCGAUACAUGGGCAACAAUCCUAAAUGACAGUGAAAAGUACAAGGCAGAUGGGUCACCACUAAGACUUUUCUGCACAAUAGGAGAUUUGAUUUUCAGCAUUGAUCCAGAAAAGAAAGUCACCGAAACUUAUGAUUCGUUUGCCAGUGGGAUGGACAAGAUUCUUCAAACUUUUUCCAUCA